GUUGGUUGGAAGUAGGCAUGAACCAGAUAUGGUAUUGUACUAAUGUUUUCAAUUUUUUUUUUAAAAAAGCAUGGAAACCCUUUUAUUCCAAUGAACCCUCACCUGGAACUACACUUCAUAAAACAGAUUAAAAUGGAGCUCUGGUUGACAUGAGGUCAAAAGCUCAGAAGUUUGCCCCAUACUCUCUGCUAGUCACCCUACCCACAGAACCCCAGGAAUUCUUCCUGGACUUUUAUGGGAAGAUUUGACUUUCAUAACAUGAAACCUCCAGCAAAUUUCAUAUGUUAAUUCCUACCACUCAGCACAGUUGUGAGGGGUAUCUGCCAAGAGUAAAAUCAACCUAGUUGAGAAAAAAAGAAAAUUUCAUGUAUUUGGGACUAAUUAGGAUUGCAAUCCAGGAAAACCCAGAUCCAAACAGUAUUGAAAAUGUGCUCUGAAUUUUUCAAAAUGGCAGCUGGACUUAAUGGAAAGGGGGUUUGGAAAUUAUAUCACUUGUUAGUUGGGAACUACGAUUGGUGCUGGCAAAAAUUCCUCUGUCUUGUAAGAAAGGGUUUCUAUGCAACCUCAGUUUCUGGGUGGUCUGAGGAAGAGGGUUGGGUACAGAAAAUGAGCAGAGGGUGUACCCAGAAGGCUGAGGAGAAGGUGGUCCACGUCAAGGUGUGCUCAGAUAGGGAAUACAUAAUCACUGUUGGCUAUGAUUAUUCUGAAAACAUUUGUUAGGAACUUAAUAAGUUACUUAUUAGAAUUGAAUGCAAUGAACAAUUAUAAAAUACAUUAAAUAAUCACAUUCUAUAUUAUUCAAGUAUAUUCAAUAUAAUAGAAAUCAUUGCAUAUUACUGCAUUAUACCAUAAAUGGCUGCAUCACUAUAUUUACCAGAAAGAUGCCCAACUCAAUAGUAAUAAAAAAUGGGGAUUAAAACAAGAGAAUGUUACUUUUUUUGUCCUUGCAUUUUGGUGAAGAUAAAGAUCAACAGCACGGAUGCUGGUGAGGACCCAGGGAAAUAUACACUCUUUAGCACCAUUACUGGGAGUAACUAAAACUGACGUUAAGUAUACCCUUUUGAACUAGCAUGAUACUUUUCAGAAUUUAUCUUAAGGAAAUGAUUAUUUUCCUAAGCUGUAAUUUCAAGGCUUUUCAUUGCUUGUGAUUAUUUUAAAAACAUGAAACAGCUUAAAGGUCCAAGUGUAGGAGAAUGAUUAAAUAGAUUUUGAUAUCCUAAUACUACACAGCUAUUAAAACUGUAAUAUAAAUUUAUAUUUCUUUACCAAGGCAGGUUGCAUGAUUUAUUAAGUGAAAAUGCAGGUGGUAAAACAACAUGUUAUAAUGUGCUUCUUAUCUGUUUAAAAAUCUGGGUAUUCUAUAGAUGUGUAUGUAUGCAUUUUAGCAUGCUUGUGUGCAUGGGAAAGAUUCUGGAAGUUUUACACCAAAAAUUUAGUAGUAGGAGAG
rnacentral:lncRNA from 1 species